UAUCGGUUAUAUAUCAGUGG
rnacentral:miRNA from 1 species